rnacentral:lncRNA from 1 species
GACAUACUUCCAACUAAUGGAGAAUUUUCGUUGACGGUAUUUAUGUUGUUUUCUUCACCCUCGACCAUGACUUUCUUUUAUUGUUGAGAAGAGUUUAAGGUAGAAGUUCCUUUUUGUUGCUUGGAUAAUUGUUAGCGUCUUCUGUUCUUAAUGAUGUUCCUUCAGAUCGUCCUCUCAAUCUCUGGAUCAAAAAGAAGUUGAUCUUCUAGAGUUUUACCUCGAAUACACAAAAUUCAAAACCUAACCACACAAGUGACC